GGAUCACCCCUUUUAUUCACGUUCUUGAAUAUCCAAUUGUUUAAUAUAUUUUCCAAAUUUUACAGAUAAAUUUGCAAUGUAUAGGCCUUGACAGUUAUGUUACGGCCGCAAUGGUCUCGUUUCUUUUACAUGCAAAUGCAAUUGCAGCUGUGUUCCGCAACUGCAAUUUUAAAUCUGUGAAUGGAAUGCAAUUCCUAUAAUGCAAUUUCAUAUUCUUGUUUGGCAUAUAAGGAAUCGAAAUUUUUGUAAUAUUAUUACAUUUUAAUAAUUUGAAUUUGGUGAAAAUGAUAUCUAUUUUUAGUAUAUUC
rnacentral:misc_RNA from 1 species